AGACCCGAAACCCGGUGAUCUAGCCAUGGGCAGGUUGAAGGUUGGGUAACACUAACUGGAGGACCGAACCGACUAAUGUUGAAAAAUUAGCGGAUGACCUGUGGCUGGGGGUGAAAGGCCAAUCAAACCGGGAGAUAGCUGGUUCUCCCCGAAAGCUAUUUAGGUAGCGCCUCGUGAAUUCAUCUCCGGGGGUAGAGCACUGUUUCGGCUAGGGGGCCAUCCCGGCUUACCAACCCGAUGCAAACUGCGAAUACCGGAGAAUGUUAUCACGGGAGACACACGGCGGGUGCUAACGUCCGUCGUGAAGAGGGAAACAACCCAGACCGCCAGCUAAGGUCCCAAAGUCAUGGUUAAGUGGGAAACGAUGUGGGAAGGCCCAGACAGCCAGGAUGUUGGCUUAGAAGCAGCCAUCAUUUAAAGAAAGCGUAAUAGCUCACUGGUCGAGUCGGCCUGCGCGGAAGAUGUAACGGGGCUAAACCAUGCACCGAAGCUGCGGCAGCGACACUGUGUGUUGUUGGGUAGGGGAGCGUUCUGUAAGCCUGUGAAGGUGUGUCGUGAGGCAUGCUGGAGGUAUCAGAAGUGCGAAUGCUGACAUAAGUAACGAUAAAGCGGGUGAAAAGCCCGCUCGCCGGAAGACCAAGGGUUCCUGUCCAACGUUAAUCGGGGCAGGGUGAGUCGACCCCUAAGGCGAGGCCGAAAGGCGUAGUCGAUGGGAAACGGGUUAAUAUUCCCGUACUUGGUGUUACUGCGAAGGGGGGACGGAGAAGGCUAUGUUGGCCGGGCGACGGUUGUCCCGGUUUAAGCGUGUAGGUGUGUGUUCCAGGUAAAUCCGGUUCACUUUAACACUGAGGCGUGACGACGAGGCACUACGGUGCUGAAGCAGCAAAUGCCCUGCUUCCAGGAAAAGCCUCUAAGCAUCAGGUAACAUCAAAUCGUACCCCAAACCGACACAGGUGGUCAGGUAGAGAAUACCAAGGCGCUUGAGAGAACUCGGGUGAAGGAACUAGGCAAAAUGGUGCCGUAACUUCGGGAGAAGGCACGCUGACACGUAGGUGAAGUGAUUUACUCAUGGAGCUGAAGUCAGUCGAAGAUACCAGCUGGCUGCAACUGUUUAUUAAAAACACAGCACUGUGCAAACACGAAAGUGGACGUAUACGGUGUGACGCCUGCCCGGUGCCGGAAGGUUAAUUGAUGGGGUCAGCGCAAGCGAAGCUCCUGAUCGAAGCCCCGGUAAACGGCGGCCGUAACUAUAACGGUCCUAAGGUAGCGAAAUUCCUUGUCGGGUAAGUUCCGACCUGCACGAAUGGCGUAAUGAUGGCCAGGCUGUCUCCACCCGAGACUCAGUGAAAUUGAACUCGCUGUGAAGAUGCAGUGUACCCGCGGCAAGACGGAAAGACCCCGUGAACCUUUACUAUAGCUUGACACUGAACAUUGAGCCUUGAUGUGUAG
rnacentral:rRNA from 2 species